rnacentral:tRNA from 1 species
GGCGUUGUGGCUGAAAUAGGAUAGGCUAAACUCCGCAAGAGUUUACACAGUGGUUCGAAUCCACUCGGCGCCU